GUCUUAAUAAUUUAAUAAAAAUAUUGGUCUUGUAAAUCAAAAAUGAGAAAAACCUCUUAAGACU